rnacentral:tRNA from 1 species
GGCUCUUUAGCUCAGCCGGUUAGAGCGACGGAAUCAUAAUCCGCAGGUCCCCUGUUCGAAUCAGGGAAGAGCCACCA